GCAUAUCAAUAAGCGGAGGAAAAGAAACCAACAGGGAUUGCCCUAGUAACGGCGAGUGAAGCGGCAACAGCUCAAAUUUGAAAUCUCGGCGUCUUCGGCGUCCGAGUUGUAAUUUGCAGAGGGCGCUUUGGCAUUGGCAGCGGUCCAAGUUCCUUGGAACAGGACGUCACAGAGGGUGAGAAUCCCGUACGUGGUCGCUAGCCUUUACCGUGUAAAGCCCCUUCGACGAGUCGAGUUGUUUGGGAAUGCAGCUCUAAAUGGGAGGUAAAUUUCUUCUAAAGCUAAAUACUGGCCAGAGACCGAUAGCGCACAAGUAGAGUGAUCGAAAGAUGAAAAGCACUUUGGAAAGAGAGUUAAAAAGCACGUGAAAUUGUUGAAAGGGAAGCGCUUGCAGCCAGACUUGCCUGUAGUUGCUCAUCCGGGUUUCUACCCGGUGCACUCUUCUAUAGGCAGGCCAGCAUCAGUUUGGGCGGUUGGAUAAAGGUCUCUGUCAUGUACCUCCUUUCGGGGAGAACUUAUAGGGGAGACGACAUGCAACCAGCCCGGACUGAGGUCCGCGCAUCUGCUAGGAUGCUGGCGUAAUGGCUGUAAGCGGCCCGUCUUGAAACACGGACCAAGGAGUCUAACAUCUAUGCGAGUGUUUGGGUGUCAAGCCCGAACGCGUAAUGAAAGUGAACGGAGGUGGGAACCUUUCGGGGUGCACCAUCGACCGAUCCUGAUGUCUUCGGAUGGAUUUGAGUAAGAGCAUAGCUGUUGGGACCCGAAAGAUGGUGAACUAUGCUUGAAUAGGGUGAAGCCAGAGGAAACUCUGGUGGAGGCUCGCAGCGGUUCUGACGUGCAAAUCGAUCGUCAAAUUUGGGCAUAGGGGCGAAAGACUAAUCGAACUAUCUAGUAGCUGGUUCCUGCCGAAGUUU
rnacentral:rRNA from 1 species